rnacentral:lncRNA from 1 species
AUUCAAGAUGGAGACGCCCUGGUUCAGACGCCUCUGACAGAUGCUCCAAGAUGAUGUGAAGACCAGAAGUUUUUUGAAUUGCAUCUCUAAUGACCUAUCAGAUCAGAAGACUGGUAAACCUGGAGCCUCAUCCCAAGAGGUGAUGGUGUCUGGGUUUAUUAUGGAUCGCAGGAUGUAACUAUCAAUCUGGAGCUUUAGGGGGAAGAAGAAAGAAUAUUUUGAACCACACCAGGAGAAUUACCCUAGAGAAUAUAAGUUCACCUGCCAAAAUGGGAGGCUGGCAUCUUUUUGCUCUAUGAGAAGGCUGCUGAGCUAACAGGUCUGCCUUGGCAUAAAUGUCUAGAAGAGCAUGUGUCUCCUGGAGUAUGGGGACAUUUGUGUUUCCAUAAAUUGGCAGCUGCUUCUGGUUAGAGACUUCUAAAAGGUCUGGAAUACUGGAAUACUGGUAUAGUCCAAAAGGGGAAGAUGAAAAGGAGCCGUGGAACAUUGUACCAGGAAGAAGAUGGGACAUUACUCUCCGCAUGCCCUGGAGCUUUCGGAAGACGUAUAAGAGGAUCUUAGUUUCCAUAGCUCCACAUGAAAGAGCAAGCAGGGCUGCUGAUGUCCACUGUGGGCUCCAAGUGAGGGACUGGCCCAUGGGCAGGAGGUGAGGGAGACUUACUUGCUUUUCUCUGAGCUGGUCCACAGGAGCAGAGGAGACUGGGGUGAGCCUCACUCCAGAAUACUUGUAGAGUAUGUGACACCGGUUACCAACCUUGGCUCCACAAAAAUUACCUGUGAACCUUCUAAAAUACACAUAAGAAAUUCUUACUGAAUUGAACUGGGACGAGAUUCCACGUAUCAGGAUUCUGUAAAAGCUCCCCCAGUGACUCAAGAUGAAGUCCGGGUUGAAGACCAGUGAUAUGCAGGAAAUGUGUCCUGUGAUUUGAAACCACAUUCCAUUUGUCAAGCAAGACACUACGGCCACAUAAUGGAGAUCUACUUCCAUAUGAACCAGUGGAUUUCACUCUGCUUAAUGGAAGUGCCUUAGACUACUUCUCAAACCUCAGUCCACGUCAGAAUCACCAAAGGGCCUGAUGCAUCCCAGAUUCCAGUCCCUUCUCUCCAUCCCAGACAUUCUGCUGAGGCAACUACCACAUUUAAGUGGACAAGUUCAUCAUUAAUAUUUAACUCAUGAGGCCUCUCUUGGAUCAGCUUUUCUUCACUGAUCAUUCAUCUUUGAGGAAAAACACCGGGCUCCAUUUGAGACGUCUGAUGUUCAUAAUGCCAAGAAUUAUUUAUUUGUAAUAAUUAUAGUUCCAAACGUAAAAUGCAUCCUCUGGGCUUGCUGGUGUUCAGGAUCAUGGAAAAGCCAGAAGUGACUGUGUAUGAACUGAUGGCAAGAUGUGGUCUUUGCAUCAGGAAGCAGGUAAACGAGGUACUAUUGACUACUAAAGCAGUGCUCCAAGUACUGUGAUUCUCUCAGGGUAACCUCAGCCUUCUAACAGUGGCAACUUGGAAGUACUAGACAUUUUAUCAGCUUUGUGCUCUCUGACAACAGA